rnacentral:rRNA from 1 species
UACGUAGGGGGCAAGCGUUGUCCGGAUUCAUUGGGCGUAAAGAGCUCGUAGGCGGCUUGGCAAGUCGGGUGUGAAAACUCCAGGCUCAACCUGGAGACGCCACCCGAUACUGCCAUGGCUAGAGUCCGGUAGGGGACCACGGAAUUCCUGGUGUAGCGGUGAAAUGCGCAGAUAUCAGGAGGAACACCUGCGGUGUAGACGGCUUACUGGACCAUAACUGACGCUGAGGCACGAAAGCGUGGGUAGCAAACAGG